UUGAUUUUCUCCUGUUAAUCUCAUGUCUAUUUGAUUCUAAGUCCAGCUAAAAGGACCUUGUAGAGCAGAAGAAGGUCUUCCUCCCCAGUACCCCCAUGUGGAACAAGAAAGGGACACUCUAGGAGGACAAAACAAAGUCAGAUCCACUCUCCAGCAUCUCCCAUACCUCUUUGGGCACUGGAACACUGACCUGCAUGGAUUCCAAGGGAUUCUUCCCCUCCAGCCUACGAAGAUUCUAGCAGGAUCUCCUAGUUUAUAAAGAAAAUGCACUCACAGUAUUUCUUUGCCUCGCCCAUCUUUGGGGCAGGGAAAAGGGGAGAUCAUGGUAUAUUGGUUAUGUCCCUCUACCAUAAACCACAGUUUAUUUAAGCAUUCCAUCCUGUUGCGGUGUCCUGCUAUUUUCUUCCCAUGAGACUCCAUCUUCAUUACACACAACCCCAAUCUGAA